rnacentral:tRNA from 1 species
GCACCCGUGGCGCAAUGGUAGCGCAAACGGCUUUUAACCGUUGGGUUGUAGGUUCGAAUCCUACCGGGUGCA